GGGCCAGUUUCAAUUAACGCGUCGCGCGCCGUUUUUAUUCUGCUAAUUAGCACAGUGACACAGGCAUGCAAACUUCCAGGUUAAUAUUUCGCCAUAAACUGACAUUUGGAGAAGAAUUAUGAGGACAUGUUCAACAACAUCCAAGCUGAAGAAGUAGAGGACCUUUUAUUGAUUUGGAGACCAAGGCAGAGCAGGAGCGCAGCACUAAAAGAGCCUGGGGAAAGGCCUGCCUUAUUUCGUGGUGGAAGCUUGCACGAAACAGGAAGACAUGGCAGUGUUACAUGAAUGAUUAUAUAAUGACAAUACAGAAAAAAAGUUUGAGGGUUAAUGUGUUUCAUGUGUUCAACUGACUACUCAAGUCAACAUCUAUACUGUAAUGAAGCUUCAGAAUUUAGCCUUUCUAAAGAAUAUUUAGGAUCUUAAGUGGAUGGACUUGUUAACCCAUUUCCAGUAACAUUUUGAUGUAUUCAUGAUAUAUAGCUGUGUAUAUGUUCUAGAAACAUAUUAUUUCUACCAGCCAAUGAAAGAGAGAGAUGUCUGUGUGAAAAUCUAAGCUAACUGAAAUGUGUGAGCAACUCAAUAGUUUACUAGUUCAUGAAACAUGCCAUGAAAAGAAAACAAAUCUAGAAAGGGAGUCAGAUAUCAAAAUAGCAAUGAAAGAACAGAAAUAUCUAAAACUUGCAGAAUCCACUUGAUUUAGUCUGUUUGUGAGAGAAAAAUUAAUGUUGAAGUGCAAUAUCAACUAAAUUUGCUGGAAUUAUCCCAACUGGCAAUUAUGAAGCCUUGCUGGAAUUCAUAUUACAGAUAAAGUUUGCUGGACAGAAAUCAUGUCUAAAUAAUGAAGAUACAGAAGUGGCUUUGAUAUAUGAGAAAAAUAUACUUGAAAAAUGGAAUAGCUUUAUUUAAGAAAUAAUUUAAUACGCAAAUACCAACUUGUGAAUUUGGUUUUCGUAAAAUAAUGAGGUUUUAUCUAUAUUUAUGCAUACAAGGAAUGUAUACCACAUUAUUAAUAUUA